rnacentral:rRNA from 1 species
GUAAUUGUCACAAUAGGGCGCAAGCCUGAUGCAGCCAUGCCGCGUGUAUGAAGAAGGCCUUCGGGUUGUAAAGUACUUUCAGCAGUGAGGAAGGUGGGUAUGUUAAUAGCAUACUCAUUUGACGUUAGCUGCAGAAGAAGCACCGGCUAACUCCGUGCCAGCAGCCGCGGUAAUACGGAGGGUGCGAGCGUUAAUCGGAAUUACUGGGCGUAAAGCGCAUGCAGGUGGUUUGUUAAGUCAGAUGUGAAAGCCCGGGGCUCAACCUCGGAAUUGCAUUUGAAACUGGACAAACUAGAGUACUGUAGAGGGGGUAGAAUUUCAGGUGUAGCGGUGAAAUGCGUAGAGAUCUGAAGGAAUACCGGUGGCGAAGGCGGCCCCCUGGACAGAUACUGACACUCAGAUGCGAAAGCGUGGGGAGCAAACAGGAUUAGAUACCCUGGUAG